ACCAGCAGCCAUAUCAUCCAGUAGCUCAGCAGGUGUGAGCCUGGUCAGUACCUCGAUGGGAGACCUCCUGGGAAAAACUAAGGCUGCUGCUGGAA
rnacentral:rRNA from 1 species